AGUCCAGUCAACACCAACAGCUAGACUCCACAAAUCUGUUGCCUCUUCACUUCCCUGUCCCAGCAGUUCAAUCGAUAGCAAUUUCCAAAAACUUUCCUUCUCUAAUAUCUUUUCCUUUGUAGUUCUCCCAUGAAACUGCCUCAAUCUGGGUGUAUCGGCCAUCUUUCUUCCGGUGUGCGACGGAUGUAAUCCAGUACUGCUCCCACCAAUUGAAUUAAACCCCAUUGAGAUUCCUAAUUGAAUGGCUUAUAAACCUACAUGUGCUUCUGCCGCAAACGAAGAUGAGAUUGUGCUAUGUAUGACUGUCUUCGAGGCUAAAAUCUCAUCGAUCAAGCCCCGAACCACCAGUCCCAAGUCGAUUUAGAAGAUCGUCUGUCAAAGGCUACAUCAAAAUAAAUUGUCACCCUCGUGUUUCCCUCGGAUUGUCUCUGCCUUCUAUCAGCUCUUAAGAGCAAAAGAGUCGACAUUGUUUACUAGUACCCAUGCUGAAUACCCAAGGCAGUGUCGAAAAAUAUGAUUGCUAUCCUCUUCCGAACUACGACACCGAGGACAAGAAACAUUCACUGCCACUCUUUUGUUUCUGAGAUUAAUUAGAGUAAGAAUGUAGUUCCAGGAGAUUUGCCAUAUUGUGAUUGUAAUUUUUGAAGGAAUAUGUUAAUUCCAUAUUUUUAUGUAGAAAUCUUUAAUCUCGGCCUGUAUUUACUAGGACCCAAAUUAGCUUAUUGUAAUAGUUUAUAGGCGCUUCUGACUAAGAAUUUGUCAGAAGGUUCUCCUUUCCAAACUUGGAAAUCAUUAUGUACUGCUUUUGCCAAAGGAAUCUGCAGAAUUUUCUGUGCAA